rnacentral:rRNA from 1 species
UACGGAGGGUGCAAGCGUUAUCCGGAUUCACUGGGUUUAAAGGGUGCGUAGGAGGGCAGGUAAGUCAGUGGUGAAAUCUCCAAGCUUAACUUGGGAAACUGCCGUUGAUACUAUCUGUCUUGAAUACCGUGGAGGUGAGCGGAAUAUGUCUGUAGCGGUGAAAUGCUUAGAUAUGACAUAGAACACCAAUUGCGAAGGCAGCUCGCUACACAAUAUUGACUCUGAGGCACGAAAGCGUGGGAUCAAACAGGA